CUGCGCCUCGCGUGGUGCCGCCCUUCCCCCCUGGCCCGCGGUGACCGUGGCUGGUGCGCGUUUUCCUCUGUUCUGUGGCCCGAGGGCUCUGCAGUCGGCUUCCCGGAAUGGCGAAGUCCUGGGGAGGCUUGUCUACAAAUACAGAGGCUGUUUCCCCACAUGCAGGAGUGGCCAUGAGACUGGGCCUGACCAGAGAGAUUCAAGAGGAAGUCUGCUGAUUGAUCUAUUGGGUGGCAAGAACAGGUCUCUUUGAUGAAGUGACAUUUAAACCGGAUGAACUGAGGGAACAAGCCUUAUCAGGGGAAGAAUAAUCCAGGCAGAGGGAAAGCAAGUGCAAAGCAAGAAAGCUGGAGCUGAAGGAUCUGGGGGAGAGACG
rnacentral:lncRNA from 1 species